rnacentral:rRNA from 1 species
UACGAAGGGGGGCUAGCGUUGCUCGGAAUCACUGGGCGUAAAGGGUGCGUAGGCGGCGCGGUAAGUCGGGUGUGAAAUUUCGAGGCUUAACUUCGAAACUGCAUUCGAUACUGCCGUGCUUGAGGACUGGAGAGGAGACUGGAAUUCAUGGUGUAGCAGUGAAAUGCGUAGAGAUCAUGAGGAAGACCAGUGGCGAAGGCGGGUCUCUGGACAGUUCCUGACGCUGAGGCACGAAGGUCAGGGGAGCAAACGGG